rnacentral:rRNA from 1 species
UAACACAUGCAAGUCGAGCGGAAACGAGUUAUCUGAACCUUCGGGGAACGAUAACGGCGUCGAGCGGCGGACGGGUGAGUAAUGCCUAGGAAAUUGCCCUGAUGUGGGGGAUAACCAUUGGAAACGAUGGCUAAUACCGCAUGAUGCCUACGGGCCAAAGAGGGGGACCUUCGGGCCUCUCGCGUCAGGAUAUGCCUAGGUGGGAUUAGCUAGUUGGUGAGGUAAGGGCUCACCAAGGCGACGAUCCCUAGCUGGUCUGAGAGGAUGAUCAGCCACACUGGAACUGAGACACGGUCCAGACUCCUACGGGAGGCAGCAGUGGGGAAUAUUGCACAAUGGGCGCAAGCCUGAUGCAGCCAUGCCGCGUGUAUGAAGAAGGCCUUCGGGUUGUAAAGUACUUUCAGUCGUGAGGAAGGCGGUGUCGUUAAUAGCGGCAUCGUUUGACGUUAGCGACAGAAGAAGCACCGGCUAACUCCGUGCCAGCAGCCGCGGUAAUACGGAGGGUGCGAGCGUUAAUCGGAAUUACUGGGCGUAAAGCGCAUGCAGGUGGUUUGUUAAGUCAGAUGUGAAAGCCCGGGGCUCAACCUCGGAAUAGCAUUUGAAACUGGCAGACUAGAGUACUGUAGAGGGGGGUAGAAUUUCAGGUGUAGCGGUGAAAUGCGUAGAGAUCUGAAGGAAUACCGGUGGCGAAGGCGGCCCCCUGGACAGAUACUGACACUCAGAUGCGAAAGCGUGGGGAGCAAACAGGAUUAGAUACCCUGGUAGUCCACGCCGUAAACGAUGUCUACUUGGAGGUUGUGGCCUUGAGCCGUGGCUUUCGGAGCUAACGCGUUAAGUAGACCGCCUGGGGAGUACGGUCGCAAGAUUAAAACUCAAAUGAAUUGACGGGGGCCCGCACAAGCGGUGGAGCAUGUGGUUUAAUUCGAUGCAACGCGAAGAACCUUACCUACUCUUGACAUCCAGAGAACUUUCCAGAGAUGGAUUGGUGCCUUCGGGAACUCUGAGACAGGUGCUGCAUGGCUGUCGUCAGCUCGUGUUGUGAAAUGUUGGGUUAAGUCCCGCAACGAGCGCAACCCUUAUCCUUGUUUGCCAGCGAGUAAUGUCGGGAACUCCAGGGAGACUGCCGGUGAUAAACCGGAGGAAGGUGGGGACGACGUCAAGUCAUCAUGGCCCUUACGAGUAGGGCUACACACGUGCUACAAUGGCGCAUACAGAGGGCGGCCAACUUGCGAAAGUGAGCGAAUCCCAAAAAGUGCGUCGUAGUCCGGAUUGGAGUCUGCAACUCGACUCCAUGAAGUCGGAAUCGCUAGUAAUCGUGGAUCAGAAUGCCACGGUGAAUACGUUCCCGGGCCUUGUACACACCGCCCGUCACACCAUGGGAGUGGGCUGCAAAAGAAGUAGGUAG